rnacentral:lncRNA from 1 species
CAAGGGUGUCAAGCCCCUAAAAUGGACCUUGUGCAACUUUAGCGGUAGGCACUAAAAUGCCCAGGUUACCACAUUAGUGGUACCUGCAAGGUUCCCAGGGCCGCUUUAGCGCCAAUGGGCCGCUAAAGCAACCUCCACUAAAGUGCCCAAAGAUUCGCUUUUGUAGUCACACUAGUAAUUAUGCACCAACUGUAGACUUGGAGAAUUUCAAGUCU